GGCGGGGCCUGGCUGUGGCGGCGACGCCGGUGGGUAGCUGGGUUUAGAGCAGGGGGACUACGGGUCGGCGUUGGGCUCAGUGGGGUCGGACGAAGGACAGGCCGGACGGGAAUCUUCGCGGCGCCUGUUGACGGCUAGCUGAGCGGCCAGUCGAGGCUUCUCGGUCGCCCAGUGCCCCCGCCGCGCGGUCUCAGGCGGCUUUUCGGUUCACCGCAGCCAGCGCCACGGUGGGGGCCCGGCCCAGCGGCACCUGCUGCCGAGCACCGCCCCCGCCAGGUGCUCAUGAUGGGGCUCAUCUUCCCUGAGCUAUGGAGCCACUUCUGUAACCAAGGAUCUGUUCUUUGAAGACUGUUUAGAAGAAAAGGUUAAAUGAUCCACUACCAGUGUGCCACCUUUGUGUACGAAAGGAGACACCAGAAGAGGUCAACUUUCUUUCACAGCAAAGUAUCAUCACAUACUGCGGUAAAGAGAUUUUGCUGUCAAGGUUGAUAUGAUGUCACUUCCUUCAAAGUCCAAGAACAAGCCUUGUUUGGUCUCUGUCUCAUUCCGCUGCAGGGUGCGUCAAGAAUUCGGUCAAAGGAUUCUGGUAAGAAUGGAGGUUCUCCUAUAAAGAGAAUUAUAAACACAUUUCUAUCUGCCCUAUUGGUCUAGAAUAGAAAACUCCUGAGAUAUAAACAAUUAUCAGGAAUUUGAAAUCAUAAUCUGGAAGAGAAAGUAAAGAAAAACAAUUUCUCCCUUCAAUCAAGUAGCUGGUGAAACUAAAUCUGAUUUAUAUUUAAUGUGGAUCUGAAUUUGUAAGAAGGUUAAAAAAUGUGAUUAUGAUAGUUGAGGGUUAUUCUGUUGAUGUGGUGCAAACAAGGCCUAAUCAAACGAGACCUUGUAUCCCCAGUGUCAGAAGCUACAGUUCAUCAGAGCCGGGACCUGGAAUUGAUUCUGGUCAUUCUGAGAGCUGACACUUCUCAUGGUAAUCCCUACUGCAGACAGCCCCAGAAACAGAGGGCACCUCUUAGGUUCUAGUCAGACAUAUGAUUCCUCAGUCUCUGCUUCUGUGGCCAUCAGCAAGGCUGUGCUCUAGAAUGAGUCAGUAAUCCCCCUGCAUCCUGUCUUCUACAGGUUUCCAUUUACAUUCACUUGAAUAAUUUCCUCACUCCAACUUCUGAUCUAUUUAAUGUUCCUGGACAAAUUCACGAAACCAAAUGGUCUGCUUAAAUAUUUAUGCUAUCUAACUGCAAGCAAGAUAUUGCUGCUGACUGCUUUUGUACAAAGCUAGUUGAUUUCCUGCAGUACCCACAGCAGUGUUCUGAGUCUCACCCCAAGAUAACCUCCUGCUUUUCUCUGAUUGCAAAACUGUUAGACACAAGUUCUUAUCAAUUUCAUUCAUCUCCCAUCCUUUCUUGCUUACCUACUGUCUCAGAAGAAAUAUCUUUUCAAAGUAAGCAAUUAUUUUUAACGUUUUUGAUUCAUACUGAUAAAGUUCUCUAGAAGACUAUACCAGUUUACACUCCAUUGUCCUGAGUAUGCUUGUGUUUGCAAAAGCCUCAUCAAAGUUGAUAAUUAUUUUACUGCCCAUUUGUAUUUUUUCUUUAUAUGGUUCCAUUCUUUGUCUUUGUCUUUUUCUUAUUGAUUAGAAGAGCUCUUUGUAUAUGAAGGAUAUUAAUCUCUCCUCUGUUACUAUUUUAUAAAUGUUUCCCACAAUUUUCCAUCUGCCUAAGUUUUUGUUUUUACAAACAUAAAUGUUAAGUAUUAAAUCUUUUUCCUUGUUGAGUUCUACCUUUGCUUUUGUGCUGUAAAAUCUUCAUCAUUAUGAAAUCAAAUAAAUGUUCAUCUAUAUUUGCUUCUGGUUAUUUUCACUGUUCAAUUCUUGACAGUAAAACUUAAUCCAUCUGAAGUUACUUUUGUGUACUGUCCUUUUUUCUCACCCUCCAAAAUAUGUAAUCUCAGAGCUAUUUAUUGACUAAUUUACUCUUGCCUCUGGAUUUGAAAUGCUUCUUUAUUGUGUACUAAAUUGCUGUAUACAUUUGGACCUGUUUCAAAAGCUUCUCUUCUGCUCCACUUUAGCUUAAGUUAUUAAGCUAUAUUUUCCGAGUGCCAAAUCUACCCUUCUCUCCUCUGCUGUGUGGUGCUGGGGUGAGAACUUCUGAACUACAAUUCUACUUUGCCUGCUGACUCCUUUCAAGAUUCACCGGCAGGAGGCAGAGGAGUGUUGGGGAGUGGGGAAAAGAUGUUAGAUAAGAGGAGUAGAGAACGGACUUCGUCUUUCCUGUUUCCUUGCUAUUUCUGUCAAAAGCAUCCUAGCAGUAGUCCUUUAUCUUGGCAGCUGCAGUUUCCAGCUUUUUCCCUUAAGUAUCAACAUGGAGUGCACAAAGCCCCCACCCUCAGAGGUCUGUGUCCCAGCUGCAUGCGGCUGCCUGCUUGUUGAGGAAUGAGUAGCCGGUAGGGAGCACCCCCAUCCUUAGAAUUGUGAACCCCAGCUCCGUGGAGCCUCUUCUCUGAGCUUUUUGGUGCUGAGAAGCGCACUGCUCCCGUUGUUUCUCUGGCUGUCUGGGUAGAAGCUGCUUUCCCGCUUCCUAGCUCUAGGUUGCCUCGGUGAUCUCCUUUUGCUUUUCCAGCUCUUCGACAUCUUUUUGACUCAUUCCUUAUACUAUUUAUCUAUACUAAAUUGUCUCUCUUUAGUGUAAAUUAAUACUGAAUUCUCUCUGUUGAAAUACUUUACCUGGUUUCUUUUUUUUAGGUAUACUUUUUGGUGAGGAAGAUUGGCCCUGACCUAACAUCUGUUGCCAAUCUUCCUCUUUUUUUUUCUCCCUAAAGCCCCAGCAUAUAGUUGUAUAUCCUAGUUUAAGUCAUUCUAGUUCUCUGUGGGAUGCCACCACAGUGUGGCUUGAUGAGCAGCGUAGAGGUCUGCACCCAAACCGGCGAACCCUGGGCCACCGAAGUGUAGCCACCCCUGAUGCAGGAAGGGUUAAUAAUCACUGGAAAAGGCUUGCCAACAAACUGUGACCCAGAGGUGAGAAGGCCGGUCCACCAAUGACAGGUAAGACCUCCAGGGCGGGGCAACCUAAGACAGGCGCAGUCGCCUGGGGGCACAGAUGGAGACACGCUAUUGAUAUCAGGAGCAGGAGGGGCCGUUGCCUAGGAGACCUUGCCUGCUCCGGGAUAAAAAUAUAUGAGCACAGCAAUAACAUUAUAAUAUCAAAACAGAGGCCGAGGGAGGGCUCCUUGAGAAAUCACUAAGAAUUCUUGGCAUUUGCUAAUUACUUCAUCCAGAACACCUGUGUAUGUUUAACAGAUGUAAGCUAUGUAUAUAUUGAAACGCUGGUUAUAAUAAACUCAGAGUGGCCAUCAGUCCUCUCCGCAUCUAUCCUGAUGUGUACAUUGGAUUGCGACACCGACACGAAGCAGAGUGCGUGAACUUAACCACUCGACCACGGGCCUGGCCCCAGUUUUUUUUGUUUUUUUUUUUAAACCUGUGGCCAGAUGAAUUCUUCUAAAACACAGCCCUCAAGUUAUUCAUCCAUCUGAUAAAAUAAUACAAAAUGAAAACCUAGUAUUAUUUCCAUAGCUACCUAAAAAUAUGGACUAAACUCCUUAGAUUAAUAAAGACCAUUAACAAUGAACAGUCUGGUCCCUAUCUACUUCUUCAGUUGCAUUUUUCAGUACUUCCCCAUAUUUGCUACUGUUAAAAAGGUAGAACUUUACUUUAUUACCCAGGGACGCAUGAACUUUCCUAUUUCCAUACCUCUGCUAAUUCUCUUUACCUGAGAUGCCUCCUGCACUCAUUUCCAUUUAUCAAAAUGCUACCACCCUUUCAAGGCCCAACAAAUACCACCUCCUCCCCUAAACUCUUUUUCUAUUGUCCCUACGAGAAGUAAGCAUUCCCUUGGAGUUCCCACAGCACUUUGUAUCUUUUUGCUGUAGAAUCUUACAAUAUAGUCACUAGUGUUUCUUGUUUUACUUCCCCCAGGCACAGAAAAAUCCUUGAAAGUCAGGAUGUUUGCAAGCCCACAAGAUACCUGUGUGUGAACUAGAAUGAAGGUGUACCCAUCUCUGGAUUAACACAGUUCUGCACCAUGAUGAACAGAGUAUGGGCUGGAUUUCAGACCCCCAUUCACCCCUCAGCUGGAGCCCUUGUACAGGGCACAACCAUACAGCGUGGCCCUGAUGAGGAUAGUAGCAAUGCCUAAUCAUUGAACUCACUGUUCCUAAUAAGUACAGUUUUCACAGAAGGUACUGGAUGACUAUGCAGAAAUGAAAAUAAGGAACUCAAAAAUAUUCUAGACCUGUCUUAGAUCAGACCAAGAUCACCAAAAUGACCCCCACAUGUGCCUGGACCAAGUGAAAUUUCUCUUAUUUAAGCUAAAAAGGCAUGGGAUAAAUGUCUAAGCUUAAAUGCAGUGCAAGAGUACCAGCAUUUUUAUUUAUUCAAACGUUUUUCUCAUAAUAUGUAAUCUUGCAACUACCUUUAGUGAUUUCCAAAACUACAUUAUUUUGGGGUGGUGUAUAAUUUAGGAGCAAUGAUAUGUUAAAAAUAAAUGAGAUUGAGACAACUUUUGAAUGAGGGCAUGAGGGAUUCUGCAGAGCUUCUCUCCAGUAAAACAGCCAUAACUGGUGAAUAUUAUUUCAAAAAACCCCGAACACUCACUGUUUAAAGUCUCUGGAAAAUGUGCAGGACAUACAUCAAAUGAAGAAACAUUUAUUCAAGAAAAUCUACUACAUUUUACUAAGAAUAGUGAGAAUGUCUGACAUUUGAGCCACAACCCGCUCCUCUGCCCCAACUGCCUUCCCCUCCCUGAAGCUCCAAGUGAGGGAAGAUCCACUUCGUGUAGGUGUCACCAAGAACACAUGGCUCCCGCUCCCUCUGAGCUCCCAGUCAAGGAAUACGGUACCUCACUGGGAGGGGCAGGCAUGCCAGCUUCUCUCACCUCCCAUCCACCUCAAGUCCCAUGUUGCAGAGGUUUGAUUCCAGGUAAGAGGAGCUGAAAACUCUGGGGCUGCUUUCCUCCACUCAGCUUCCACUCAUAAGUGGGCAUUUCUACCCCAGGUACAGCAGCCUGAGAGUACCAAAGCCCCGUCUGUCCUCCUCCCAACUUGCUGAUGGUGAAAAGGUUCUGCAUUUGUAUAGGCAAGCUGAAGAAAACAGGCUGCUGCUGCCCCAGCCCAGCACUGUGCUCAGUCACGAAGCAUCGCUCCAAGAGAAACAGGCCACUCUCUUGCCCCCAGCUCUGGAGCAGUGGCCCAGAGGUUUUGCCUAAGGGGAGAAGCAGAAAGUAAGAACAGAGAACACAAACGCUCUCCCCAAGUGAACUGACUUUAUUUGGACCAGAAUGUUGGGAAGUUUAAGCCUGAGGGUACUCUUGAAAAUAGUGGAGAUUGUGGUGGUAAGCAAUUAAAAGGAGGCUGGUAGCUCCAGGAAAGCAAUAAGCUACACCACAGACCAGCCAGAAGUUUACCUGAGAACUCAGGAAUGGGACAGCUAAGAAGAGCCCUCCUGGGUUGGGAACAAACCUCAAAGUCUGGCUGCAAAAAUUACUCAUGCAAAGAUUACCCAUUCAAAGUUAUUGGAUCAAGGUAGUAAAACAAUUUAUGCCCCCAAACACUGUUGAAAACAAUAGAGCAAUCAACCUGCAAUUAGCAGAGGCUAACAGCAUCUUGUGAUACUAAUCAAAACAGAUAGUUUAACACAAAGAUCAGGAAAAGAGAAAAAGAGAGCCCUCAUAAAACUGUCAUCCCAGGGUUGCUGUGUGCACACCCAUGAAAUAUACUUUACUAAAAUAGUUCAGCCAUCACAGUAAACAACUAUAAGCCUGGGGAGGAGCAUAUUUGUAUCUAAGGUUAUUACAGUUUAUUAUCUAAAAUGUCCAGUUUUCAACAACAAAAAAUUACAAGCUAUACAAAGAAACAGGAAGGUGUGACCCAACUCAACAGAAACUAUCUUUGAGAGGGCCUAGAUGCCAGAUUUAGCAAAGAUUUUAAAACAGCCAAUAAAAAUAUGUUCAAAGAAUUAAAGGAAAAGAAAUCAAGCUUAAGAAAGUAAAGGAACAUGUAAUGACAAUGUCUCACCAAAUGGAAUAUAUCAGUAACAAGAAGUUACAAAAACGAAACCAAACAAAUGGAAAUUACGGAGUUGAAAAUAAAAUAAAUAAAUGAAAAAUUUACUAGGAGAGCUCAACCAUAGAGUGAAGAUGACAGAAAAAAAGGAUCAGUACUUGAAGAUAAAUGAAUAGAAAUUAUGCAAUCUGAAGAUCAGAGAGAAAAAAGAAUGAAGAACAGUGAACAUAGCCUCAGAAAUGUGUGACACCGUUAAAGGCACCAAGAUAGGCAUAAUGAAAGUAUCAGGAAAAGGAGUAGAAAAAUACUCAAAAAAAUUAUUGAGGAAGCUCAGUGAAUUUUAAGUAGGACAAAUGCAAAAAGAUCUAUAAUCAGACACAUCAUAGUAAAAAUUUCAAAGGCAAAGAGAAAAAUCUUUAAACCUGCAAGAGAAAAACGACUCAUGUACUAGGGAACCACGCUAAGAAUAACAGAUGGUUUCUCAUCAGGAAGCAUGGAGGCCAAAAGGGAGUGGGAUGAUACAUUGAAAGUGCAGAAAGGGGGGAAAAUCCUGUUGACGAAGAAUUGUAUAUCCAGCAGAAUUAUCUUUCAAAAAGAAAGGUAAAGUAGAGAUGCUCCCAAGUAAACAAAAACUGAGAGAACUGUUGCUAGCAGACCCACCUUAUAAAAAAUAUUUCUAAAAGUUCUCCAAGCUGAAAGCAAGUUAUACCAGAACAUACUUUGAAUCCAAAUGAAAAAAACAAAGAUCCUGGGUAAACAUAAUUAUGUACUUAGAAAAAUUAGUAUAAAUGUAUAUUUAUUCUCCUUUCUUAACUAAUUUAAAAAUCAGUUGUAUAAAACAAUAUGUAUAUAAUUGUUUUGCUAGACCUAUAUAUGUAAGAUAUGUAUAUAGCAAAUGCAAUAUAUUUGUCAAAAACAACACAAAGGGUGAGUGGGAGCAAAGCUGUAUUAGAGGAAGGAAAUGAUACUAGAUGGUGACUCAUCCAUAGGAACAAAUGAAGAGAACCAGUAAGAAAGAUAAUAUAACAAAAUCUAAAAUUAUAUAUUUUUUUCUACUUUCUUCUCUCAGUUUCUUUUGGAAAUUUUAUACACCUAAAAUAUAUAAAGUAAUAGUAAUAAUAAUGUAUUGUUGAGUUUGUAACACAUAAAGUGAAAAGUCAUUGAAAGAAUUCAAAUGUUACAUUAGUUUAUAUGUACUCGAAAAAGCAAGCAUGAAAGGACAGAGAAACACACAAAAAAUGAGCACUAUAGAAAACAAAAAGUAAAAUGACAGAUGUAAAUUCAAUUAUAUCAAUAAUACCAUUAAAUAUGAAUGGAUUAAACAAUCCAAUCAUAAGGCAGAGAUUGUCAGACUAGAUUUUAGAAGAACAAGAUCCAAGUAUAUGCUAUCUACAGGAUACACACUUUAGACUUAGAUAUAAAUUGAAAGUAAAAGACUCAGGUUGAAAGCAAAAGAAAAAAACAAGAAAUAUCGUACAAAAAGAAACCAUAAAGAAGCUGGAGUGGCUAUACUGAUAUUGGACAAAACAGACAUUAAAACAAAAAAAAAUUUUAUUAAUGAGGACAUCUUAUGACAAAAGUAUCAAUCUAUAAGAAAAAAACAAUUGUAAACAUGUAUACACCUAACAAAAGAACCUCUACUGGGGCAGAAGCUGUCUUGGACCCAGAGACGAAAAUAACAGCGUGGCAUACCCACUUCUAUUAGGUGAGACAAAAAUAAAUAAUAAAACAAAGAAACAAAAAACGCUUCUGUCUUUUCUAAGCUGCUAUAUUUUGGAUCUCUGGCAUGGCCUGUUAGCCUGUACACUAAUAUAAAUCUCCUGCAAACCCCUGGCUAUCUGUCUAGUGUUGACAAACUGACCAUGCAAUGAUGUCCUCAUGUAAUUAGGCAAUUCAGUGUGACCUAUUCCCACCUCUGUAAGAAGACAAAUAAUAGCCCGGACAUUGUUCCCUAGAACAGUCUCUAUUGUUCUAGGAAGGAUUCCGUGUGUUUCUGUUUGUGGUUUGCUUUUUUAACCCCAUGUGUUUUACUACAAAUUAGGCAGCUGUUACAAAAUAAUUUCUCUCUUGCCAUGAGUCUCAAAUAUAUGUUGAUUUUCAUAUCACUACUGAUGUAUUUUCCAUCAAACCAAUUGGGUCUACUGCCUGACAUUUUGAGUUUAACACCCCAAAUCAAACUACCAGAAAAUAUCUGAUGAAACAAGUCUUGGUGAAAAAAGAAGUAAAGGUGACGCCCUAUGACCAUUAGGUAAUGAAGUGAUACGGAGGAGUGAAAAAUCAAUGAUCAAACAUCCUGCUAGUUAAUAGAUUGUCUCGUUAUAGCACUGAAGACUGACCUCUAAGAUGGCUUCCCCAAUAUGUUGAUUGUUCAUACCCUAACCCCAACAUAUUAUGCUUGUGAAUAUGAUCUCUUUAAUUCAAAGAUAUGUAAAACUUGGUGACCCACCAACAGUUUUAGUAAAGUGAUAGUGAUAGAUUAUAUUGUGCUGUCUACUAGUCAUUCUUAUGAACAACAGCUUGUACGUGGCAAACUAUAGAGUUAAAAAGUAUUUUUCUCUAUGGCAAUCUAGAUGAUGUUACUGAACACAAAAUAAUUUUC
ensembl:lncRNA